GUGUCAGCCGCCGCGGUAAUACGGAAGGUGCAAGCGUUAAUCGGAAUUACUGGGCGUAAAGCGCACGUAGGUGGCUUGGUAAGUCGGAUGUGAAAGCCCCGGGCUCAACCUGGGAACUGCAUUCGAUACUGCUGAGCUAGAGUACGAAAGAGGGGGGUGGAAUUCCAGGUGUAGCGGUGAAAUGCGUAGAGAUCUGGAGGAACACCAGUGGCGAAGGCGGCCCCCUGGUUCGAUACUGACGCUGAGGUGCGAAAGCGUGGGGAGCAAACAGGAUUAGAAACCCUCGUAGUCC
rnacentral:rRNA from 1 species